UACGUAGGGACCAAGCGUUGUUCGGAUUUACUGGGCGUAAAGGGCGCGUAGGCGGCGUGACAAGUCACUUGUGAAAGCCCUGGGCUCAACCUGGGAAUUGCAGUGGAUACUGGCAAGCUAGAGUGCGGUAGAGGAUGGUGGAAUUCCCGGUGUAGCGGUGAAAUGCGUAGAGAUCGGGAGGAACACCCGUGGCGAAGGCGGCCAUCUGGACCAGCACUGACGCUGAGGCACGAAAGCGUGGGGAGCAAACAGG
rnacentral:rRNA from 1 species